AAGCAGUUUUAUAAUAAAAAGGACGGAGACAGAUCCUGACCCUUGGGAGAAUAAGGCUGUCAGAAGAGCCAGCUCACACACCGGUGAUAAUUCCAUGCAUGGGAAAGAGGACAGUACUCAGAUGUCUGGUCGUAUCGUCUUAAUCCUCGGCCUGCUAUAAACCUCUCGUGAUGUUUACGAUGUGUGUGCCUAAGGGAUCUUCCUCCCAUUUGAACUCCACAGGGCUCAUGGUCCACCCUGGUGAGAGACUGGGCCCUGGGGGAGCUCCCUCAACCAUCCUGCACAACCUCUCCAGGGCUCUUGCAGAGUUAGAAGAACAUAGGAUUUGGAAUAAAACAUCCAGUUUCCAAACCCAGCUCUUUGUGAUACUGAGUUAUGUGGCUUCUCUAAAUCCCAUCUAUAAAAUGAGUUUAAUGAUAUCCCUGGCACUCCUCUUCCACACAUCAGAGGCUUGGUCAGAGAAGCCAACACAACGUGGAAACAUGCUGCAAGGAGCUGUGCCAGAGUCAGAAGGUACUGCUGUGUGCCCUCGGUCACCUCUGCGAUUCUCAUCUGACUUGCAGCUAACCUGAGCACUUUGUGAGCGACAAGAAGGCAGGGAGUCUUCCCUGUGAGCAUGGUCUAGGCAGACUGACCUACGUUGCUUGGACCCCAAGUCCAGAACUUCACAUUUGUCCCUAUACACUCCCACCUUGGUGGUCCUAGCCUUAUUUUUAGGAUCUCUUCAAGAGCUGUCCAACUUGAAAAUGUCAUUAACUUUGCUCCCAAGUCUUUGUCCAGGUUAUUGAUGUAAUUCUGGCACAGGACAGAGUUCUGAGCAACAGAGUCCUCCCUCUGGGUUGACAGCUGUCACUCACCUCAGCUGAUUAUUCCCACUUGGGUUGUGAUUAUUCAGCCCAUUAUAAGCCAGCCUAACUGAUUCCAGAGCCUUCUGCACUCUGCUGCCAGCCUGCCUCACCAGGUCACUCCUAUAACUGUGAUACUCCCUGAGUGUGUAGCCUGGGGUUACUUAAGGUGUGAUGAGAGUGUGAAGAAAUGCGUCAGUAACAGGUAAGGCAUGGACUCCCGCUUUCUCAACCUCAGCCUUGGCCCUGCAGGCACUGGGGGCUGGGCUGCUCCCUGCGGGGGGGCCAGCCCGUGCACUGAAUAUUUGGUGGCUCCCAGGUCCCUCCCCCAGUUGUGACAACCCAAAGCAUCCCCUGACCUGGCCGCGCGUCCCAGGGUGACAUGAUUGCCCCGGAUCGGAACCAUGGACACAAAAAUGCUGGCAUAGUGUUAGUGUCACUGUUUGUUGUGAACCCACGGUAUGCAGAGGUGGUGCGUGGUUCACCCUCCACCUCCAGGGAUCGUGAAUAUGACCGUGCCCGUGUUUCCACGCUUCCCACUGGGCCUUUGUGACUCGUCGAACAUCUUGCUAAGUUCCAGCAGCUGCCUCCGCGAGGCUGCAUGACCUUGCCAGUGCUGACCUAUCAGAGCAGAAAUGGGGGGCGGCUGUGGGCGAGACACUGGGCGUGAACUUGCCCCAAUGCCAUUGCACUGCCCACAGACCCGUGAGUCCUCAGCCCCGGGACCAUGCAGAAUGGACUCGGAAGCAAAGAAAAUCACUUGGCUCUUGCACCCCCACCUCUGGGCCGUGUUUAUUUCUCCAGGGAAAGUGGAGACGGCCCUCCAACCGUUUCUGGUGGAGGAUGGUGCAGGCAAACCAGCCAAGCUCUCUGAAGCUGGGUUCCUGCGCUGCUAAGCACCGGCCUCUCCCGGCGCUGAGGGCGGCGUGGUGGAUGCGGGGGCCACUGCAGCUCUGCGUUCAGCUGGGGGGUGGCCAGGCCACCGAGGGCCACGCAGUGGGCAGGAGCCCGGGGAGUGAGCAGGGGCGAGGUGACAGGCUCCCUGCGGGAUGGUUGGCUCCAAACCUCCCCUUUACUAGUCUGUUCUUGCCCAGCUGGGAGCUUUGCUGUGGGCACAGGAUCAUCACAGCAUCUUCUUCCAUUUCCUUCUCCGGAAAUUAAUAAAAUUUAUAUGUUAAAACCA
rnacentral:lncRNA from 12 species